UACGUAGGGGGCAAGCGUUGUCCGGAAUCAUUGGGCGUAAAGCGCGUGUAGGUGGGUCGUUAAGUGUCCGCGUGAAAUCCCACGGCUCAACCGUGGAACUGCCGGGCAUACUGGCGAUCUUGAGGCAUUCAGGGGCGAGCGGAACAAAUGGUGGAGCGGUGAAAUGCGUAGAUAUCAUUUGGAACGCCAAUGGUGAAAACAGCUCGCUGGGAAUGAUCUGACACUGAGACGCGAAAGCCAGGGGAGCGAACGGG
rnacentral:rRNA from 1 species